GUGUUGUGAGGACAUUCUGGCUACAAUAUUUGUCACCUCAUUGAUUACCAAGUUGAUUUGGCAGGCUAGGCAAUUGUUGCCUUCAUCCCUCAACUGUUGCAUGUGUGUCCUUUUAAAGCUGUGGGCAUGAAGGAAAAGGUGAAAAGACGGAGUGUAAAACUCUCUGUUAUUUGGAAUACAAGAAUUGCUCUUCCUUACUGGAACCUCCCAAAAAUUCAAGGAAGGCUUAAAUAUUUUUAAAUAAAGUGGAUUACCUGAAAAAUAACUAAACUGAAAGAAAAGUAAUCUCAACACUACUCAUUUUU
rnacentral:snRNA from 1 species